UCCUUGGAAUUCUGCAGAGAUGCGGAAGUGCCUUCGGGAAUCAAGUGACAGGUGCUGCAUGGCUGUCGUCAGCUCGUGUCGUGAGAUGUUGGGUUAAGUCCCGUAACGAGCGCAACCCUUGUCCUUUGUUGCCAGCACGUAAAGGUGGGAACUCAAAGGAGACUGCCGGUGACAAACCGGAGGAAGGUGGGGACGACGUCAAAUCAUCAUGGCCCUUACGGCCUGGGCUACACACGUGCUACAAUGGUCGGUACAGAGGGUUGCCAAGCCGCGAGGUGGAGCUAAUCCCAGAAAACCGGUCGUAGUCCGGAUCGCAGUCUGCAACUCGACUGCGUGAAGUCGGAAUCGCUAGUAAUCGCGAAUCAGAAUGUCGCGGUGAAUACGUUCCCGGGCCUUGUACACACCGCCCGUCACACCAUGGGAGUGGGUUGCAAAAGAAGUGGCUAGUCUAACCUUCGGGAGGGCGGUCACCACUUUGUGAUUCAUGACUGGGGUGAAGUCGUAACAAGGUAGGCGUAGUGCU
rnacentral:rRNA from 1 species